rnacentral:rRNA from 1 species
AGAACGAACGCUGGCGGCAUGCCUAACACAUGCAAGUCGAACGAGACCUUCGGGUCUAGUGGCGCACGGGUGCGUAACGCGUGGGAAUCUGCCCUUAGGUACGGAAUAACAGUGAGAAAUUACUGCUAAUACCGUAUGAUGUCUUCGGACCAAAGAUUUAUCGCCUAGGGAUGAGCCCGCGUUGGAUUAGCUAGUUGGUGGGGUAAAGGCCUACCAAGGCGACGAUCCAUAGCUGGUCUGAGAGGAUGAUCAGCCACACUGGGACUGAGACACGGCCCAGACUCCUACGGGAGGCAGCAGUGGGGAAUAUUGGACAAUGGGCGAAAGCCUGAUCCAGCAAUGCCGCGUGAGUGAAGAAGGCCUUCGGGUUGUAAGCUCUUUUACCCGGGAAGAUAAUGACUGUACCGGGAGAAUAAGCCCGGCUAACUCCGUGCCAGCAGCCGC